rnacentral:rRNA from 1 species
AUUGAACGCUGGCGGCAGGCCUAACACAUGCAAGUCGAGCGGAUGAAGGGAGCUUGCUCCUGGAUUCAGCGGCGGACGGGUGAGUAAUGCCUAGGAAUCUGCCUGGUAGUGGGGGAUAACGUCCGGAAACGGGCGCUAAUACCGCAUACGUCCUGAGGGAGAAAGUGGGGGAUCUUCGGACCUCACGCUAUCAGAUGAGCCUAGGUCGGAUUAGCUAGUUGGUGGGGUAAAGGCCUACCAAGGCGACGAUCCGUAACUGGUCUGUGAGGAUGAUCAGUCACACUGGAAGUGAGACACGGUCCAGACUCCUACGGGAGGCAGCAGUGGGGAAUAUUGGACAAUGGGCGAAAGCCUGAUCCAGCCAUGCCGCGUGUGUGAAGAAGGUCUUCGGAGUGUAAAGCACUUUAAGUUGGGAGGAAGGGCAGUAAGUUAAUACCUUGCUGUUGUGACGUUACCAACAGAAUAAGCACCGGCUAACUUCGUG